rnacentral:snRNA from 1 species
AGAGGUGAGGGAGAUCUGGUGGCAACAUCUGUCCUCCCACCCCAAUGGAUUGCUAUGGUUGAUUUGGCUGAUAUGGCUGCUAGGUGGCUGCCAAUUCAUCCCUCAAUUCUCCAUUAAUGUCAUAUUCUGACAUCACAGCUCUAUAUGUCUGACUUCAAUCUCUUAUUCUAGUUUGCUGCAUCCCAUUGCCAAAGGGUUAUGUCUACCGGCAAUUAGGACAGAUAUUACAAUUUUUCCAGUGUUAUGAUAUCAAACUUAAGGA